GUCGAGAAUCUUCCGCAAUGCGCGAAAGCGUGACGGAGCGACACCGCGUGAUGGAUGAAGUCCUUCGGGGCGUAAACAUCUUUUAUAAAGGAGGAAAUUUUUGACGUUACUUUAUGAAUAAGGGGCUCCCAAUCUCGUGCCAGCAGGAGCGGUAAUACGAGAGCCUCAAGCGUUAUCCGGAAUCAUUGGGCGUAAAGGGUGCGUAGGUGGUUUGAUUAGUCUCCCGUUAAAACUUCGAGCUUAACGCGAAAAGAGCGGGGGAAACGGUCAAACUAGAGUAUGUGAGAGGUGUGUGGAACUCAUGGUGUAGGGGUGAAAUCCGUUGAUAUCAUGGGGAACACCAAAAGCGAAGGCAGCACACUGGCACAUCACUGACACUGAGGCACGAAACCUAAGGUAGCGAAUGGGAUUAGAUACCCCAGUAGUCC
rnacentral:rRNA from 1 species